GGUAGAUGAGACGGGACAGAUCGCGACGCACUUGGGGUUGGGGGGGGGGGGGGGGGCGCCGCCGCCAGCGCGCCUCCACGCUCCUCCGCCUCUUCGCGUGGCGCUUCCCUAGCGCCCUCUCGGCCGCUGGAAAUACCGCCACCCUUCAGCUCUUCUCACCACCGGUGCGCGCAGAGGCUUCAGCAGCUACUACUCCGCCGCAGCCGCUGCAAAGGCCACCUCGCUACCGGUGUAUUCCAUCGGUGUUGGGACUAUUCUCAGGGGAAGAGAUGGUUAAAUCGUGAACCAUGACUCCUUGACAGCUAUCAAACUUCAGAUGGCACUGUGACAAAAGUGUCCUAGCUGGAAGCAGAGUAUUUCAAAGCAGUGAUUGUGACCUGAGUAUCAUCCGUAACCCCAUCACCCUUGGCUCCAAAAUCGACCACGUUGAAGACUGUGUCCUGCUCUGCCGGUGGAGACGGCGGUGGAGGCGGCUGCAGCAGUGGUGGAGGUGGCACUGUACAUCCACUUCCACCGCCUGGUGUUGGCAUUGUUGGACCCUGGCCUCCUUUGCCAUGGACAGGGCUUCUGCUUGGGCUGACAGGGCUUGUGCUCGGACUUGGCUGGUAUGGAUUCUGAAUUCCUUUGCCGUUUUGCUUGUGGGAACUGCUGCUCUUUGGUUUCCCUUUUCUUAGCAUAGAGGUGGAGGUCGCUCUGCUUCGCCUCCAAUGCUUCCCGCUUCUCGCAUCGCAUAGACAAAUGCUGGAGCACAGAACAAGCAAGACAAGGAGAAGCAGGAAGAUAAGAGAUGAAGAAGGAAUGAUGAAAGGCAGGGGAUAGAGUAUGUGGCUUCGAGGAGGGAAAGAGGGGGUUUAAAUAACGAUGCCCAUGGCCAUCGUCUCUGCUUCAGCAAGGUCGAGUGAAAGAAGGAAAUGGCUAGGGACCAGCCCAAGCUCACGUGCAUUUGUGGGGAGCAUUAGCUCGUAACAUCACACAGAAUUUAAGGUGGCGUCUUUGUUUCUUUGUCACUUUUGUGCAUGAGCAUAUCACAGUAUUGUCCUCCUUUACGGUCGUCUUUUCGUGAGAAUUGGUUGGAGGAAUCAUCUUCAAGACAUUGGCUCUCGCCACUUGCCAGAGCCCAGGAAAAAACAGACAAGGCAGCUUACCUGUGCUCGUACUACUAAACUGCUGAUGGCUCACGGGUGAAGUGGCGUGUCUGCAUGUACUGGCCUGUUCGAAUUAUUUGCUCUUAAUCUGAUGUGUGACACGAUCUGUCAGGUGAUUAAACUGACUACUUGGUUCGUCUUGUAACGGCGUCCGCAGGCCAGUGCUGGAGCAUAAUGCGAGUUAGCAUGAGCUUGCUAAACUUUUUUUAUUAUUAAAUUACGGUAAUAUGAUGAACAGUGCA